UGAAUAUGGGGGGACCAUCCUCCAAGGCUAAAUACUCCUGACUGACCGAUAGUGAACCAGUACCGUGAGGGAAAGGCGAAAAGAACCCCGGCGAGGGGAGUGAAAAAGAACCUGAAACCGUGUACGUACAAGCAGUGGGAGCACAGAGCAAUCUGUGUGACUGCGUACCUUUUGUAUAAUGGGUCAGCGACUUAUAUUCUGUAGCAAGGUUAACCGAAUAGGGGAGCCGAAGGGAAACCGAGUCUUAACCGGGCGUUAAGUUGCAGGGUAUAGACCCGAAACCCGGUGAUCUAGCCAUGGGCAGGUUGAAGGUUGGGUAACACUAACUGGAGGACCGAACCGACUAAUGUUGAAAAAUUAGCGGAUGACUUGUGGCUGGGGGUGAAAGGCCAAUCAAACCGGGAGAUAGCUGGUUCUCCCCGAAAGCUAUUUAGGUAGCGCCUCGUGAAUUCAUCUCCGGGGGUAGAGCACUGUUUCGGCAAGGGGGUCAUCCCGACUUACCAACCCGAUGCAAACUGCGAAUACCGGAGAAUGUUAUCACGGGAGACACACGGCGGGUGCUAACGUCCGUCGUGAAGAGGGAAACAACCCAGACCGCCAGCUAAGGUCCCAAAGUCAUGGUUAAGUGGGAAACGAUGUGGGAAGGCCCAGACAGCCAGGAUGUUGGCUUAGAAGCAGCCAUCAUUUAAAGAAAGCGUAAUAGCUCACUGGUCGAGUCGGCCUGCGCGGAAGAUGUAACGGGGCUAAACCAUGCACCGAAGCUGCGGCAGCGACACUGUGUGUUGUUGGGUAGGGGAGCGU
rnacentral:rRNA from 1 species